rnacentral:rRNA from 1 species
GAAAUGACGAUAACGUAAUGUGAAUUGCACGAAUUCAGUGAAGUCGUCGGAAUCUUUGAACGCACCUUGCGCCCUUUGGCUAUUCCGAAGGGCAUGCCUGUUUGAGUAUCAUGAACACCUCAACUCUCAUGGUCCGCCACGAUGAGCUUGGACUUUGGGGGUCUUGCCGGCCUAGCGUCGGCUCCUCUCAAAUGGAUCAGCUCGCCAGUGUUUGGUGGCAUCACGGGUGUGAUAACUAUCUACGCUUGUGGUUUUCCGCCAUGUAACCUUCGUCACGGAGGUUCGCUGGGGCUCACAGAUGUCUCUCCUUGAAGGACAGCUUUUUGAACAUUUGAUCUCAAAUCAGGUAGGACUACCCGCUGAACUUAAGCAUAUCAAUAAGCGGAGGAAAAGAAACUAACAAGGAUUCCCCUAGU